rnacentral:rRNA from 1 species
AUUGAACGCUGGCGGCAGGCUUAACACAUGCAAGUCGAGCGAGCGGCGGACGGGUGAGUAAUGUCUGGGAAACUGCCUGAUGGAGGGGGAUAACUACUGGAAACGGUAGCUAAUACCGCAUACCAUCAGAUGUACCCAGAUGGGAUUAGCUUGUAGGUGGGGUAAUGGCGCACCUAGGCGACGAUCCCUAGCUGGUCUGAGAGGAUGACCAGCCACACUGGAACGGAGACACGGCCCAGACUCCUACGGGAGGCAGCAGUGGGGAAUAUUGCACAAUGGGCGCAAGCCUGAUGCAGCCAUGCCGCGUGUAUGAAGAAGGCCUUCGGGUUGUAAAGUACUUUCAGCGAGGAGGCGUUACCGGCAGAAGAAGCACCGGCUAACUCCGUGCCAGCAGCCGCGGUAAUAC